GACGAACGCUGGCGGCGUGCCUAAUACAUGCAAGUAGAACGCACAGUUUAUACCGUAGCUUGCUACACCAUAGACUGUGAGUUGCGAACGGGUGAGUAACGCGUAGGUAACCUGCCUGGUAGCGGGGGAUAACUAUUGGAAACGAUAGCUAAUACCGCAUAAUAUUGAUUAUUGCAUGAUAAUUGAUUGAAAGAUGCUAUUGCAUCACUACCAGAUGGACCUGCGUUGUAUUAGCUAGUAGGUGAGGUAACGGCUCACCUAGGCGACGAUACAUAGCCGACCGGAGAGGGUGAUCGGCCACUCAGGGACUGAGACACGGCACAGACUCCUGCGGGCGGCAGCAGUAGGGAAUCUUCGGCAAUGGACGAAAGUCUGACCGAGCAACGACGCGUGAGUGAAGAAGGUUUUCGGAUCGUAAAGCUCUGUUGUAAGAGAAGAACGGGUGUGAGAGUGGAAAGUUCACACUGUGACGGUAUCUUACCAGAAAGGGACGGCUAACUACGUG
rnacentral:rRNA from 1 species